UUGCUUCGGCAGCAUAUAUGCUAAAGUAGGAAUGACACAGAGAAGAUUAGCAUGGCCCCUGCACAUGGAUGACACACAAAUUCAUGAAGCUUUCCAUAGUUUU
ensembl:snRNA U6 U6 spliceosomal RNA